GGAAUAUUGGACAAUGGGCGAAAGCCUGAUCCAGCCAUGCCGCGUGUGUGAAGAAGGUCUUCGGAUUGUAAAGCACUUUAAGUUGGGAGGAAGGGCAGUAAGCGAAUACCUUGCUGUUUUGACGUUACCGACAGAAUAAGCACCGGCUAACUCUGUGCCAGCAGCCGCGGUAAUACAGAGGGUGCAAGCGUGAAUCGGAAUUACUGGGCGUAAAGCGCGCGUAGGUGGUUGGUUAAGUUGGAUGUGAAAGCCCCGGGCUCAACCUGGGAACUGCACCCGAUACUGGCCGACUAGAGUACGAGAGAGGGAGGUAGAAUUCCACGUGUAGCGGUGAAAUGCGUAGAUAUGUGGAGGAAUACCGGUGGCGAAGGCGACCUCCUGGCUCGAUACUGACGCUGAGGUGCGAAAGCGUGGGGAGCAAAC
rnacentral:rRNA from 1 species